rnacentral:rRNA from 1 species
UACGUAGGGUGCGAGCGUUAAUCGGAAUUACUGGGCGUAAAGCGCACGUAGGCGGCUUUGUAAGUUAGAGGUGAAAGCCCGGGGCUCAACCCCGGAAUAGCCUUUAAGACUGCAUCGCUUGAACGUCGGAGAGGUGAGUGGGAAUUCCGAGUGUAGAGGUGAAAUUCGUAGAUAUUCGGAAGAACACCAGUGGCGAAGGCGGCUCACUGGACGACUGUUGACGCUGAGGUGCGAAAGCGUGGGGAGCAAACAGG